rnacentral:lncRNA from 1 species
GACAGUUGGGACUGGAUCAGGUUGGAGCUGCUGGGGCAGGCUGGGUCCAGCCGUUACUCUUUUGUCCUCCCAGAGCAGACAGUAGUCCCUGAGGCAGCUGGGACGAAUACAGCAGGUCCAGGACAAGGGACCAGAGACAGGGCUGAUAGUGUGAGCUGGGAGGGGCUGCCUAUCUGCCCGGCUGUCGCAGUACUUGAAUUCUGUAUUGUUUUCUAUACCAGUUGCUUCAGCUAACAUCUGAUUCGGUGUCUUACUUUGCCCUUGAAUGUGGAUGUGUGAAAGGUAACUGAGAGACUCUGAGGGGUCCUUCAUGGUGUGACUGAAGGUGUGGGCCUUGAGGAAAACUAGCUGUGUGGUGUUUAUUUAGAACCUAGAGGAAGGCAGAAGAAAGGGCCUGUGAGGGCUUGACAGGUUCAGUUCCCUCCAAGCGACUGUGGGGUGCCUGGUGCUACCUGGUUCAACAGCAGGAACUUCCUAAGUCCAGUGCUACCCCAUGUCAUGCUCUGCCCCACUGUGCCCUGCUUGGGUUCCCUAAAGAUGAUGAUUCUUAGCUGGCGUGGGAAGGGCAGGUGGCCCGUCAGUCAGCUGAAAACUUGAAAGACCCUGUUAGAAUCUGCUUGCUGUGGAUCCCAAAUUGGCAUGGCGACAAGCAUGUGACAUCUCAGCCUUACCCACUGCUUGGAAUGGUGCUGCUGCUGUGUGGUUCUGCAUGUCAGGCAGCCCAGCCCGUGCUGUUGGAAGAAGGGCUCAACACGAAGUGUUUCAAAAUGGCAAAGGUGUUCGCUUUCGUUUGUUCUGUUUUCCUAGAGAAGGAAAAGGAUGCGGGAAUCUAAAACGUUCUGGUUGAAUAGCCUCUGCUUGUGUCCCAUCGGCCGCCUCAUUGCAAGCAUUUUGCACACGAUUGUGAUUUUUAUGUCAAAAGAAGCCAAAAUUUGCAAUACUAUUUUUAGCAGACAAAAGAGAACUCAGUAUAAAAUGUGUAAAUAUUUUUGACUUGAACAUUUUGGGUGGCUCUGGGUUCAAGGAGAACAUUUAUCCCUUCAGUGGGAUGUUUGUAGAAAAGGACCCCAGGAAGAGGGUUGUUUUGAAGGCACUGUCUAGGGGUUAAAGUAGCAUCAUAACUCAUGACUGUUAGAAAAUAAUAAAGUCAGUUGCUCCCCUACCUCUAAGGAGGCCUUCACACUGAGCUAGAGCAGACACCAUUUCUUGGCUUUCUUUUGUUUAAGGGAGGAGGAGGCUUUGUUUUUGUUUUGUGGGGUUUUUUUUGUUUGUUUUUGUUUUGUUUUAUUUUUUGACCCUCCAGCAUCCUCCUUUCUCUGUGCUGUGACCCUGUAGUGACAAGACUGUUACUUUGUAGCCAUGGCUGAAAACAUUGUAUCAAUAACAACAAAAACAACAAAAAAUUUAAAAAAAGAAAAAAAAAAGAAAAAAAAAAACAACCCACAGCAAUGUCUGCAAGCUGACCAGGGAAACCCGAGAGCUGUGAGCCGGCGCUCAGAGCUGUUUCAGACAUGGAAAUCCAUGGCAAAGGAUGUCAUCAGUAAUUGUAAAACGCUUUGUAAAGUUCACAUUUACAGAAUAAUAAAGUCAAUUCAAACCCUG